rnacentral:misc_RNA from 1 species
CGCACAUUGCGCCCAUUAGUAUUCUAGUGGGCAUGCCUGUUCGAGCGUCAUUUCAACCCUCAAGCCUCGUCGCUUGGUGAUGGGAGCCUACUGGCACUGCCUGUAGCUCCUCAAAGUUAGUGGCGGAGUUCGUUCCAACUCUAGGCGUAGUAAAUCUAUCUCGCCUCUGUAGUGGUCCGAUCCCCUGCCGUAAAACACCCCAAAUCAAAGGUUGACCUCGGAUCAGGUAGGAAUACCCGCUGAACUUAA